rnacentral:rRNA from 1 species
AUUGAACGCUGGCGGCAUGCUUUACACAUGCAAGUCGAACGGGGUGGGGGGCAACUCCCAUUCAGUGGCGAACGGGUGAGUAAUGCAUCGGAACGUAUCCCGUAGUGGGGGACAACGCCGCGAAAGCGGCGCUAAUACCGCAUAUGCUCUACGGAGGAAAGUGGGGGACCGCAAGGCCUCACGCUAUGGGAGCGGCCGAUGUCCGAUUAGCUAGUUGGUGGGGUAAUGGCCCACCAAGGCGACGAUCGGUAGCUGGUCUGAGAGGAUGAUCAGCCACACUGGGACUGAGACACGGCCCAGGCUCCUACGGGAGGCAGCAGUGGGGAAUUUUGGACAAUGGACGCAAGUCUGAUCCAGCCAUGCCGCGUGCGGGAAGAAGGCCUUCGGGCUGUAAACCGCUUUUGUCAGGGAAGAAAAGGUUCUGGCUAAUACCUGGGACUCAUGACGGUACCUGAAGAAUAAGCACCGGCUAACUACGUGCCAGCCGCCGCUGUAACAC